UACGGAGGGUGCGAGCGUUGUCCGGAAUCACUGGGCGUAAAGGGCGCGUAGGCGGCAUGCCAAGCGUGUGGUGAAAGCCCGGGGCUCAACCCCGGAACGGCAUCCGAUACGGGCUGGCUUGAGACCGAGAGAGGUGAGUGGAAUACCCAGUGUAGGGGUGAAAUUCGUAGAUAUUGGGUGGAACACCGGUGGCGAAAGCGGCUCACUGGCUCGGUUCUGACGCUGAGGCGCGAAAGCGUGGGGAGCAAACAGG
rnacentral:rRNA from 1 species